rnacentral:rRNA from 1 species
AGAGUUUGAUCAUGGCUCAGAGCGAACGCUGGCGGCGUGCUUAACACAUGCAAGUCGAGUGCGCGUCUGUAGCAAUACAGAUGGCGCACGGCGCACGGGUGCGUAACACGUGGGUAAUCUGCCCUUCGAUGGGGAAUAACUCGCCGAAAGGCGAGCUAAUUCCGCAUAACAUUCCUUGAACCUCGGUUUGGGGACUCAAAGCCGUAAGGCGUCGGAGGAGGAACCCGCGCACGAUUAGCUAGUUGGUAGGGUAACGGCCUACCAAGGCUUUGAUCGUUAGCUGGUCUGAGAGGAUGGCCAGCCACACUGGAACUGAGACACGGUCCAGACUCCUACGGGAGGCAGCAGUGGGGAAUCUUGCACAAUGGGCGAAAGCCUGAUGCAGCGACGCCGCGUGGGGGAUGAAGCUUUUCGGAGUGUAAACCCCUUUCGACCCGGACGAAUGCCCCGCAAGGGGACUGACGGUACGGGUAUAAGAAGCCCCGGCUAACUACGUGCCAGCAGCCGCGGUAAGACGUGGGGGGCCAGCGUUGCUCGGAAUUACUGGGUGUAAAGGGUUCGUAGGCGGUGUAGCAAGUCGGGAGUGAAAUCUCUGGGCUCAACCCAGAGACUGCUUCCGAAACUGCUGUGCUUGAGUGUGGGAGAGGCGCGUGGAAUUGCAGGUGUAGCGGUGAAAUGCGUAGAUAUCUGCAGGAACACCCGUGGCGAAAGCGGCGCGCUGGACCACUACUGACGCUGAGGAACGAAAGCUAGGGGAGCAAACAGGAUUAGAUACCCUAGUAGUCC